UAUCCCCUGUGUGCCUUUAAGGCGUGCGUAGCGAAGCUAACGCGCUAAGUAGACCGCCUGGGGAGUACGGCCGCAAGGUUAAAACUCAAAUGAAUUGACGGGGGCCCGCACAAGCGGUGGAGCAUGUGGUUUAAUUCGAUGCAACGCGAAGAACCUUACCAACCCUUGACAUCCUAGGACCGCCAGAGAGAUUUGGCUUUCACUUCGGGACCUAGUGACAGGUGCUGCAUGGCU
rnacentral:rRNA from 1 species